GAAAUGCGAUAAGUAAUGCGAAUUGCAGAUUUCAGUGAAUCAUCGAAUUUUUGAACGCACAUUGCGCCCGGCGGCCACUCCGCCGGGCCUGCCUGUUCGAGCGUCGUUUCUCCCCUCGAGUCCCCUGGGACUCGGUGUUGGGGAUCUGCAGGGCCCCCACGGGCGCUGCAGUCCCUUAAAAUUAGUGGCGGGACGUGCUGGAGGCCCCCUGCGUAGUAACCAAUCUCGCAUGGGGCGCCGGCGCGGCCUGGCCGUCAACCGGGCGGUGCCUUAGGGCACCGUCCACAGAACAGUCGACCUCGAAUCAGGUAGGGUUACCCGCUGAACUUAA
rnacentral:misc_RNA from 1 species